GAGGGGAGGGAGCCACCAGACUGUGCCUGCUUUGGGUCCAUCAGAGCCCUCCCAGAGCUGAAAAAAAAGGGUGACAUGCUUGAGGAAGAGUGAUGAAUAAUACUGAGGAUGAUUCAACGUCUCUUGGUUUUACUUCUGCACCACCCAAAGAGAAAAUAACAGGUGGAGAGAGCAGGAUCCAUCUACGAGAUUUCUGUGCCGUCCCCCUUCACCGAAGCAACAGCAGGUCAUAUCUGAAUGCAGAAGCAAGAC
rnacentral:lncRNA from 1 species